UGUCCACUCCCCCUCUCCUGCUGCCCAGAGUGGCAGCUGUCUUCCACUGGGACCACUGCACCGGCCUCUUCGCUGGCCUCCUGCCUCCUUGUCUCUGUGUUGGUCUCUACUGACUCACCCUGUUUUCCUCUGCUUUGCGGCAAGGAUGAUUUUUCUAACUCGCUCCCCAGGGGAUGCCAGCGCUGCUGGUCUGUGCAGGACAUUUUGAGGAGCAAGGAACUGGAGGACCCCUGCUGAUGUCCCUAGCCUCGUCUUCUGCUCCCUCCCCAACUCUGCUCCAGCCACGCUGAACUUGUGCUAGCUUCCAGAAUACGUCACAUGCUCGCUCACCACUGGGCCUUUGCACAUGCUCUGUCUCCCUAGAGCACGCUUACCCUGGCCUAGCUGGCUCCUGCUCCUAUUCCAGGUUGGAAUCAGCUAUUGCUUGGCCAGAGAAAUCCUGGACUUUGCUGGAAUGGUCCUGCCAGGCUUCCUGCACCAGACGCAGCCCUGCAGGGAGCUGGGAAUGGAAUCUGAAACAUGUGACGUUGCAGGUCAUGAUGCAGUGGUCAGGCAUGUGAUCUCAGCUUGGCUGCGGGCAGUGCCAGUUAGGUCUAGAAAAAGUAGGACGUUGGUUGCACGGCAAAUAAGUUCAGUAGUGGGUAUCAGAGCCAAGGAAACGUCCGAGAGCUUGUGACACACAGAGGGAUCGAACGUCAUCGCAGUUCGCGGCAAUGGAAAACUCUUUCUGCCCCCCAACUGAAAAAUAUACCGCGUACUACUUCCUUUCUGAAUUUUAUUUCCUCUUUGUCAUAAAGGGAACGUCCAAGCCGAGGUCUCCUCCUUCUUGGCCCUGGCCUUGCCCCGCGGGACGUUUUCAGUUCGUUUCGCAGUGUCAUUGUUACAGAUGGUGAGCAGUUGGUCUGUUUACCACAGAUAACGACCUUAGUUUCUUCCCAAAGAGAGCUGCCAAGUUCAGUGGGUUAUUCCUGUGCACCCAGUAAUUAGUAGGUGCUGCAGGAAGU